rnacentral:rRNA from 1 species
AGAACGAACGCUGGCGGCAUGCCUAAUACAUGCAAGUCGAACGAACUCUUCGGAGUUAGUGGCGCACGGGUGCGUAACGCGUGGGAAUCUGCCCCUUGGUUCGGAAUAACAGUUGGAAACGACUGCUAAUACCGGAUGAUGACGAAAGAUACAAAGAUUUAUCGCCCAGGGAUGAGCCCGCGUAGGAUUAGCUAGUUGGUGAGGUAAAGGCUCACCAAGGCGACGAUCCUUAGCUGGUCUGAGAGGAUGAUCAGCCACACUGGGACUGAGACACGGCCCAGACCUCCGU